AAUGACAGUGGGACUCACUUUAAUCUAAUGCUCCCAACCCAGCAGAGCUCCUCCCUGUGGCCCAAUGCUGGAAGCAAUUUCAGACCGUCAAAUCACAUGCGGUUUGAUGUCAGACCACUCAACUACCCCAGGCCACAGAUCUUGCCUCCUGGGUAAAAUCCAUGCCUCUCAGGCUACAACUUUUCCCCCUCGGUUCUGUCAAAGAGAGGUGUCCAACGCCAGUGCUUGGUGUCUGGAGCCCAUGCCACAAUUG
rnacentral:lncRNA from 1 species